GCGCUUGUGGCGGAAUUGGCAGACGCGCUGGAUUUAGGUUCCAGUGUCUUUUGACGUGGGGGUUCAAGUCCCCCCAAGCGCACGA
rnacentral:tRNA from 1 species